rnacentral:rRNA from 1 species
GAUGAACGCUGGCGGCGUGCCUAAUACAUGCAAGUCGAGCGAACAGACGAGGAGCUUGCUCCUCUGACGUUAGCGGCGCACGGGUGAGUCACACGUGUAUAACCUACCUAUAAGACUGGGAUAACUUCGGGACACCGGCUCUAAUCCCGGAUAAUAUAUUGAACCGUAUUGUUCGAUAGUGAAAUACGGUUUUUCUGUCUCUUCUAGCUGCUUCCGCGCCGCAUUAGCUAGUUGGUAAGGUAACGGCUUACCAAGGCAACGAUGCGUAGCCGACCGGAGAGGGGGAUAGGCCGCCCUAGAACGGAGACGCGGUCCAGACGCCUGAGGGAGGCAGCAGUAUGGUAUCGUCUGCAAUGGGCGAAAGCUUGACGGAGUAACGCCGCGUGAGAGAUGAAGGUCUUGCGAUCGUAAUACUCUGUUAUUAGGGAAGAACAAAUGUGGAAGUAACUAUGCACGUCUUGACGGUACCUAGUCAGAAAGCCACGGCUAACUACGUG